UACGUAGGGGGCAAGCGUUGUCCGGAUUUAUUGGGCGUAAAGAGCGUGUAGGCGGCCAGACAGGUCCGUUGUGAAAACUCGAGGCUCAACCUCGAGACGCCGAUGGAAACCGUCUGGCUAGAGUCCGGAAGAGGAGAGUGGAAUUCCUGGUGUAGCGGUGAAAUGCGCAGAUAUCAGGAAGAACACCCGUGGCUAAGGCGGCUCUCUGGGCAUGAUCUGACGCUGAGGAGCGAAAGUGUGGGGAGCGAACAGG
rnacentral:rRNA from 1 species